AUGAACGCUAGCUACAGGCUUAACACAUGCAAGUCGAGGGGCAGCAUGGUCUUAGCUUGCUAAGGCCGAUGGCGACCGGCGCACGGGUGAGUAACACGUAUCCAACCUGCCGUCUACUCUUGGACAGCCUUCUGAAAGGAAGAUUAAUACAAGAUGGCAUCAUGAGUCCGCAUGUUCACAUGAUUAAAGGUAUUCCGGUAGACGAUGGGGAUGCGUUCCAUUAGAUAGUAGGCGGGGUAACGGCCCACCUAGUCUUCGAUGGAUAGGGGUUCUGAGAGGAAGGUCCCCCACAUUGGAACUGAGACACGGUCCAAACUCCUACGGGAGGCAGCAGUGAGGAAUAUUGGUCAAUGGGCGAGAGCCUGAACCAGCCAAGUAGCGUGAAGGAUGACUGCCCUAUGGGUUGUAAACUUCUUUUAUAAAGGAAUAAAGUCGGGUAUGGAUACCCGUUUGCAUGUACUUUAUGAAUAAGGAUCGGCUAACUCCGUGCCAGCAGCCGCGGUAAUACGGAGGAUUCGAGCGUUAUCCGGAUUUAUUGGGUUUAAAGGGAGCGUAGAUGGAUGUUUAAGUCAGUUGUGAAAGUUUGCGGCUCAACCGUAAAAUUGCAGUUGAUACUGGAUAUCUUGAGUGCAGUUGAGGCAGGCGGAAUUCGUGGUGUAGCGGUGAAAUGCUUAGAUAUCACGAAGAACUCCGAUUGCGAAGGCAGCCUGCUAAGCUGCAACUGACAUUGAGGCUCGAAAGUGUGGGUAUCAAACAGGAUUAGAUGCCCUGGUAGUCCACACGGUAAACGAUGAAUACUCGCUGUUUGCGAUAUACGGCAAGCGGCCAAGCGAAAGCGUUAAGUAUUCCACCUGGGGAGUACGCCGGCAACGGUGAAACUCAAAGGAAUUGACGGGGGCCCGCACAAGCGGAGGAACAUGUGGUUUAAUUCGAUGAUACGCGAGGAACCUUACCCGGGCUUAAAUUGCAGAUGAAUUACGGUGAAAGCCGUAAGCCGCAAGGCAUCUGUGAAGGUGCUGCAUGGUUGUCGUCAGCUCGUGCCGUGAGGUGUCGGCUUAAGUGCCAUAACGAGCGCAACCCUUGUUGUCAGUUACUAACAGGUUCCGCUGAGGACUCUGACAAGACUGCCAUCGUAAGAUGUGAGGAAGGUGGGGAUGACGUCAAAUCAGCACGGCCCUUACGUCCGGGGCUACACACGUGUUACAAUGGGGGGUACAGAGGGCCGCUACCACGCGAGUGGAUGCCAAUCCCCAAAACCUCUCUCAGUUCGGACUGGAGUCUGCAACCCGACUCCACGAAGCUGGAUUCGCUAGUAAUCGCGCAUCAGCCACGGCGCGGUGAAUACGUUCCCGGGCCUUGUACACACCGCCCGUCAAGCCAUGGGAGCCGGGGGUACCUGAAGUGCGUAACCGCGAGGAGCGCCCUAGGGUAAAACUGGUGACUGGGGCU
rnacentral:rRNA from 1 species